GGAAUUUAUUAUUUUUUUUAAAAAAAGCAACUUCCAGAGUUCGUCAUUGUACAGGCUUAGCCCGGUCUCCUAUAGCAUGGUACAGCGAUUACUAAUUGUUUUUUAAUAAUGACUCAGAGGCACUGGAGAUCCAUAACUGUCUUCUGAAUUAUCACAGAAAGAAAAAAAAAAGACUUAGAAGAAGAGUUUAAUGUUAAGUGUAUUUAAAAAAUCAUAUUCUAGUUCUUUUAAAAUGGUUAUCCAAGUAUGAUAAUAUAGUAGAGCUCAGAUAACUAGAAAAGGCAACUGACCAGAACACCCCCUUCCCACGCGGUGUGCAUUAAUAGGCACUUUACUGCUUACAUCUUUAUAUGGUUUGCAAACUAAUUCAACCCAUUUCACACAGCAUUAAUUAUUUUUUAUUAAGUUCGCAUUGGGCUGAAACCGCUGCUCAUUAUCUCACAAUUAUUAUUAUUAUUUUUCCUGAUUUUUUGAUGGUUUCCCUCAUCUGACAGUGUUUGGACUUUAGUGUGCAUCAAAGUUUGCGAACAUCUCUGCCCAUUCUAGUGAUAUUUACAGUGAGGUUCCCCAUGGCCAGGUAUCCAAGACUGUUCUUUAAUUUGUCCCCCAGCUCUGUUCUUGACCUUGGGAAAAGAGAGACCUUGUGUCUCACUGGAAUAUGUGCCAAGCUCCAGGCCAGAAGCUCCUGGUCAUUAACAGAGGGGACCCCUCCAGGCUUUUAUUAAUGCUGUGCAAACAAGGGUCUCGUCGUUUCAAUAACUAUUUGUACAUUUAUAAAAGCAAUACAGUCAUGGGAAAAACCAACAAGCACAGCUUGGUAGAAUAACCUGCCAUGAAAUAUCAUUGGCUUUAUAAUAAUUUACUACAACUGUUCUUUUUAUUCACACUGGAUAGGAAAUGCUUCCAUCUAACACAUGGAAUACGAAUAUAUACAACAAAAUGUUGGGUUUUAUUAUAUAAAAAAAAUUCACAAAGACAAUAACAUGGGGGGUUUAAAAAAUAAUUUUGUGCAGUUUCCUGAUCACAAUCAUAUGUCUGCUGCCUUUUACAGGGAAUGAUACAAGUACUGAUAGAUUUUAAAAACCAGUUAAAGAAUUUUCCUGCCUGUAAUAGCCUACUCUUAAAAUAUUGCCUUGUUCAUACAGUAUAGGUGUUUUUCCUUCUCAACUGUAAUUCUAAAUGACUAUGGAUGACACAAUGAGUCAGUUUUAAGGACAAACCCUGCCAAUCCUCUUCAAAAUCAUCAUAUAUUUGCAGUUCCCUAUUUCAUCAAAAAGUUCACGAAACAACAUCUCAGAAACUGCACAGGGCUUCUGAUUGAUGUGCUGUUGAGAUCCUGAAUGUUGCAUUCACACCCGAUUUUUUUCCACAACGUCAGCAUCUCAGCUUGAAUUUUCUUAAGGCCGCAGUGAGUCAGUCAUGCGGCAGCGGUGUGGGGUGGACUGUCUUGUACUGCCAGCAGUCAAAACAGUUGUCAUGGGCUCAACAUCCCUAUACUGUGAGCCUGGGGGACCCAUUCUUCUGUGGAAUGGUUUUCUGGAGUCCAGCAAUGUCCCUGCAAGUGUUUGAGACAUCCUGGCUCCUACUUCAUGAAGGACUAUACUAAAGAAGAAGCCUAGUAUUCUAAAAAUAGACAAUACAGGCCAGGUUGGGGGCAGAGGGUGGGGGGAGGGGGAAGGGGAAGGUUGCUUUCAUAAGUCCUGGACACCAUCUCUGAUUUUAGCUCUAUGAGAAGUGCUGGGGGAUUCUCUGGGAGUGGCAGGCUGGGAGAAGGGCUGGGUCUGAGGUACACUUGGAGAAGUGUCUGUUUGGCAUCGACACUGCACAUUUAGUACCUGUAGUCUAGGCACUGUGCCUAGAUCUAUUUUUCCCUGACUGUACCUUUUUUGCCUAAGGGUUUCCCCAUUCCCCCAUGUUUGUUUUGUUUUCUAAAUAGGUUUGGGCAAUAGAGUUCCUCUCUCUCUCUCUCUCUCUCUCUCUCUCUCUCUCUGUAAUUCUAAUAGGUGAGGGGUGGUUCUUUGGAGUUGUAAUUUGAGGACUGUGGAAAUCAUUGGGCUACAUGGGAAUAGUGCUGUGAUUGAUUAGCAAUGUCUGUCGUGGCUAAAAGAAUAGGUGUUUAUGGAAUGCAUGCCAGGUCCUUGUGUCUCUGUUCUAAGAAAAGUGAAAGAAUGAGUCUGGCUUGAUGGAUUCUUGGAGGAUCUUUGGAGACCAGAGCCCAAAGCACUGCAUUUAUAUUUAUAUUCUACUUUGUUCCUGAAAAGAUUUAAGGAGCUUGGGAGAGGAAUUUUAAGAACUGUGGAAAGUUGGAGGACGAGAUAAUUUUGAAUAGGUUGGUGCAGGAGUCCCUCAACAAUGGCCCUGUUUCCACCCCUGGGUGAUGAGACCCAAUGUUUACAGUGUGUUUACAGGGCUUCUGCUCACAAAAGAUUCAGAACGACUGGGAGCAAUGGAGUGAGCCCCAGGUGUGGUGGAAAUUCCAGGCAGAGCAUUUCUGGUGUAUUGCCUCUGGGUCAAUAGCUGAUAAUAAAUUGUGAGUAUGUUGAAAAGCCAAGAAGAAAUCUACUUGCACCCACAUACGUGCCUUUUUGGGGUUAAUCAAAUAACCAGGUGAUAGUUUCCUUAUUAUGUCAGGACCAUUGUCUCACAGCUCUAUCUAGAAGUCUCUGGUGUAUAACUUUCCCAAGAAAGAAAAA